AGUGAACGCUGGCGGUAGGCCUAACACAUGCAAGUCGAACGGCAGCACAGUAAUAGCUUGCUCUUACGGGUGGCGAGUGGCGGACGGGUGAGGAAUACAUCGUAAUCUACUUUUUCGUGGGGGAUAACGUAGGGAAACUUACGCUAAUACCGCAUACGACCUACGGUUGAAAGCAGGGGAUCUUCGGACCUUGCGCGAUUGAAUGAGCCGAUGUCGGAUUAGCUAGUUGGCGGGGUAAAGGCCCACCAAGGCGACGAUCCGUAGCUGGUCUGAGAGGAUGAUCAGCUACACUGGAACUGAGACACGGUCCAGACUCCUACGGGAGGCAGCAGUGGGGAAUAUUGGACAAUGGGCGCAAGCCUGAUCCAGCCAUCCCGCGUGGGUGAAGAAGGCCUUCGGGUUGUAAAGCCCUUUUGUUGGGAAAGAAAAGCAGCAGGUUAAUACCCAGCUGUUGUGACGGUACUCAAAGAAUAAGCACCGGCUAACUUCGUG
rnacentral:rRNA from 1 species